GUAAUGGCAGGUCAGCAUACUGCCGUGAAUACGUUCCCGGGCCUUGUACACACCGCCCGUCACACCAUGAGAGUUGGAGAUACCCGAAGCCUGUGAGCUAACAAACGAGGCAGCAGUCGAAGGUAGAAUCAAUGAUUGGGGUGAAGUCGUAACAAGGUAGC
rnacentral:rRNA from 1 species